UUGGAGGGCAAGUCUGGUGCCAGCAGCCGCGGUAAUUCCAGCUCCAAUAGCGUAUAUUAAAGUUGUUGCAGUUAAAAAGCUCGUAGUUGAAUUUCGGGGUUAGUAGGUUGGUCAUGCCUCUGGUAUGUACUGGUCUCACUGAUUCCCCCUUCCUGAUGAACCUUAAUGCCAUUUAUUUGGUGUUUUGGGGAAUUUGGACUGUUACUUUGAAAAAAUUAGAGUGUUUAAAGCAAGCUAACGCUUGAAUACGUUAGCAUGGAAUAAUGAAACAGGACGUCCGAUCCUAUUUUGUUGGUUUCUAGGAUUGACGUAAUGAUUAAUAGGGAUAGUUGGGGGCAUUAGUAUUCAAUUGUCAGAGGUGAAAUUCUUGGAUUUAUUGAAGACUAACUACUGCGAAAGCAUUUGCCAAGGAUGUUUUCAUUAAUCAAGAACGAAAGUUAGGGGAUCGAAGACGAUCAGAUACCGUCGUAGUCUUAACCAUAAACUAUGCCGACUAGGGAUCGGAUGAUGUUAAUUUUUUAAUGACUCAUUCGGCGCCUUACGGGAAACCAAAGUGUUUGGGUUC
rnacentral:rRNA from 1 species